rnacentral:rRNA from 1 species
AACGAACGCUGGCGGCAUGCCUAACACAUGCAAGUCGAACGAGACCUUCGGGUCUAGUGGCGCACGGGUGCGUAACGCGUGGGAACCUGCCUUUAGGUUCGGAAUAACUCAGAGAAAUUUGAGCUAAUACCGGAUGAUGUCUUCGGACCAAAGAUUUAUCGCCUUUAGAUGGGCCCGCGUUGGAUUAGCUAGUUGGUGGGGUAAAGGCCUACCAAGGCGACGAUCCAUAGCUGGUCUGAGAGGAUGAUCAGCCACACUGGGACUGAGACACGGCCCAGACUCCUACGGGAGGCAGCAGUGGGGAAUAUUGGACAAUGGGCGAAAGCCUGAUCCUGCAAUGCCGCGUGAGUGAUGAAGGCCUUAGGGUUGUAAAGCUCUUUUACCCGAGAUGAUAAUGACAGUAGCGGGAGAAUAAGCUCCGGCUAACUCCGUG